rnacentral:rRNA from 1 species
CGGGACGGGUGAGUAAUGUCUGGGAAACUGCCUGAUGGAGGGGGAUAACUACUGGAAAUGGUAGCUAAUACCGCAUAACGUCGCAAGACCAAAGAGGGGGACCUUAGGGCCUCUUGCCAUCGGAUGUGCCCAGAUGGGAUUAGCUAGUAGGUGGGGUAACGGCUCACCUAGGCGACGAUCCCUAGCUGGUCUGAGAGGAUGACCAGCCACACUGGAACUGAGACACGGUCCAG